AGAAUGCUUCUGUCUUUUUCCAAUUUUCUCUCCUCCAAAAGGCAAGGAUUAAAGAAAGACCUUUUUGAAAAGAAAGGCAAAAGAAGAAGAAGAAGAAGAAAGGCAAAAACAGAAAGACCGGUCGAAAGGGUAAAAACUAGUCUUUGCGGAGAAGAAAAGACCAACCACUUUUCUGUCUCUGUUGCAAUUUCCUCAAGUAUACUCGACUCCGAUCCAUCUCUUAUCUGCGUCUUUGAAUGUGUUUACGUUAGUUUGCAUCAUAGCACAGACAAUGCCGAAUUGGGAGCUGAAGAGUUGUUGCAAGCAUGACCAGGUCAUGUUCUUAGCGACUAUUGGAGUCUAUACCGUGGUGAUCCUAGCGCUAUGGAGGACAAUACUACUCACGCCUUUUAAGCUCAUUACAGUUUUCCUUCAUGAAGCAAGCCAUGCAAUUGCUUGUAUACUCACAUGUGGCAAGGUUGAGGGUAUCCAGGUUCACGCAAAUGAGGGUGGGGCGACACAAACACGUGGUGGUAUAUAUUGGCUGAUUUUGCCUGCAGGAUAUCUGGGUUCAUCAUUUUGGGGAAUGGCAUUGAUACUUGCGUCAACAAAUCUCCUUACUGCUAGAAUUGCUGCUGGUUGUUUAGGCGUUGCCCUGCUUGUUGUGCUUUUUCUGGCAAAAAAUUGGACACUUCGAGGACUUUGUAUUGGAUUUAUCAUAUUCCUUGCUGUAGUAUGGGUUCUGCAAGAACUCACGGGAGUCCGUAUUCUUCGCUAUGUCAUUCUCUUUAUUGGUGUGAUGAACAGUUUGUUUUCAGUUUACGAUAUUUAUGAUGAUUUAAUAUCUAGAAGAGUCCACUCUAGUGAUGCGGAAAAGUUUGCGGAAGUUUGCCCCUGUCCCUGCACUGGGGUUGGAUGGGGAGUCAUAUGGGGAUUGAUAUCUUUCAUAUUUCUGUGUGGAGCUGUGUACCUUGGACUCGUCAUCUUGUCCUGAGGUGUAGAUUGCAUGUACCUUGGACUCGUCAUCUUGUCCUUCAUCCAAAUGAUUUUACUUAUUUGUCUGCUGAGGUUGAAGGAUGUGGGUUGAUAAUCUUCUUGAGGCUACAGGGUGUGCUAGCUCUCACUUAUUAUUAUUUUUAUUUAUAAUCUAUUUAUAUUAAUUAAUAUGAUUUUGUCUCGGCAACAUUGUAGCUAUCCUUCAUUCUUUUCACCCAACUGUCGUCAUAGUUCCUGUACAGUAUUUUGUAGUGGUGAACGUAUGUACACAAAACAAAGGCUGUAAAGGUGAUUAAACAAGUUCAUGAAGCCCAAACUUCAUGUGCGUAAGCUGCUACCCGGUUGUGAACAUUUUCUAGUAUAAUCUGAUAUUGCCAACUGCCUAAGCAUGUUUUUUAACCUG